rnacentral:rRNA from 1 species
GCAGUCGUACGAGAGUUUUUAACUCUAGUUGGCGGACGGGUGAGUAACACGUGAGAANNUACCUUUAGGAGGGGGAUAACAAUUGGAAACGAAUGCUAAUACCCCAUAUGCUUUCGAGUGAAAUGGAUUUAUAUUUAUCCGCCUAGAGAGAAGCUCGCGGCUGAUUAGCUUGUUGGUAAGGUAAGAGCUUACCAAGGCGACGAUCAGUAUCUGGUUUGAGAGGACGAUCAGACACACUGGAACUGAGACACGGUCCAGACUCCUACGGGAGGCAGCAGUGGGGAAUUUUCCGCAAUGGGCGAAAGCCUGACGGAGCAAUACCGCGUGAGGGAAGACUGCCUAUGGGUUGUAAACCUCUUUUUUCAGGGAGGAAUAAAAUGACGUGUACCUGAAGAAUAAGCAUCGGCUAACUCCGUGCCAGCAGCCGCGGUAAGACGGAGGAUGCAAGUGUUAUCCGGAAUCACUGGGCGUAAAGCGUCUGUAGGUGGUUUGAUAAGUCAACUGUUAAAUCUUGAGGCUCAACUUCAAAAUCGCAGUCGAAACUAUUAGACUAGAGUAUAGUAGAGGUAAAGGGAAUUUCCAGUGGAGCGGUGAAA